rnacentral:lncRNA from 7 species
AGGAGCCGUUCCUUACGCGAGGGCUCUUCUCCAUCCUCCGGUCGUGCUCGGCUCCCACUGCUACCCGUGAGGCUUUCAUUAGGCUGAGCCCACCCAUUCAAUCCUGUAGAGGCGUGCUGCCAGCAGUGCUGUAAUAUCCAUCGAGGGCCACCCAGAGGUUGUCCAAGAAGGAAACGCAACUAUUUCCAACUGAGCUCGGAGUCACGUCAAAGAUUUAAUUGGGAAGUUCAAAGGAAGCGUCGGAGGCUCUUUUGAUCUCUGAGUGAACGCCACGUUGCAUCGGUGCCUGCUGGCCACGGCGGUGACCUCUCGUGUUAAUUAGUGCUUAUCUGAAAUCGAAUUAGCUCACAACCGGGAGAAAGCAGAGUGAAAAUCAGAGGAUAAUCACGGAUUUGUGUGGUUCUCACUUAGAGCCCGCGCUGCCUUCAUCUUUGCUGAGUCUGCUGCUCCACGCUGCUCACUGGAACUUAAACCAUAAACCAACACUGAACAAUGAUGCAUUAUUUAUAGCAGACCGAAUGCUGUAAGGUUGACAAUGGUGCAAAGCUUCUCUUUCUUGUGGUCAGUAAUCCAUAAAUAAAUACAUCAUCUAUUGAGGGCUGCAGGACUGUCAGAUGGAUGGGAAUUGCCUGUGUUAUACAAGGAGGGCGUGGGGGAUGCUGUGAGAGCCAGCACCUGCUUCUGCUGCCAGUUGGCUAUUUCUGAGUAAUGGUGUUAAAAGUCUUCACCUGCAGGGAGGUGUGAGUGUUAUCAGUGCCCAGCUGUGGAGCUGGGUGGAAGGUGCAGGGCAGCAGAGGUUCUCCGUGAAGGGGAGAAACGUGUAAAGCUGUCAGGUUCUGUGCCUCUGUGUGAAAUAUUAUACAGGGCUUUGUAGCUAAAGCUAUCUUAAGAGGAAGGUAUAUGGCCUCAGUUUCUGAGCAGAGAAUAGCCAGAGACGUAGAAGUC